CUUUGGCAAGAAUUAAUUUUGCAGCCACUGUUCAUCACAUUUUUUGUGCAAAUGCAAGGGGAAGAAACUAUGACCCUAUUGAUUUUGGGGAGUUCAAUACAAAUGAGACUUGGAUUUUAGAAGAAGAACCUCCAACUUUGACUGUAGCUGAAUUGGAAACUUUUAGGAAUGAAUUGACAGCAUGUGAUAUCCAAAGCAACUCACAAAAUGACAGUGCUGAUGAAGAUGAUACCAACAAUGAAAACAAUGCUGAAGGAAAUGAACCUAAUUAAAACUGCAUGGAUGAUCCAACUCAAGGUGGUUAUGAAUUUGGUAGUAGUUGGGAACCGUGGAAAUGAUAAGUUUAGAAGAUAGUUGUCAUUGAUUCAAUUUGUUAUCCUUGUUUUUUUUCAUUUAAUGAUUGGAAGCUUGAAAGUUACAAGUUUGAAACACUUGUUUU